GACGUCGAUAUUCGACUUCAUAAACACAAUCAACUUAGGUGUUUAAGACGACGAAGUUCGGCGUCGUAAACACGAUCAACUUAGGUGUUUAUGACGUCGAUAUUCGGCGUCGUAAAUACGAUUAACUUUGGUGUUUAUGACGUCGAUAUUCGACGUC
rnacentral:miRNA from 1 species